GCUACUACCGAUUGAAUGGCUCAGUGAGGCCUUGGGAUUGGCCAGGGGAGAUGGGCGACCAUCACCCCAGGCCGAAAACUUGGUCAAACUUGGUCAUUUAGAGGAAGUAAAAGUCGUAACAAGGUUUUCGUAGGCGCUUGCGUCUCGGAAUAAGUUAAUGCAUCCUUCUGCAGUGACACUUAUUGGAAGCCUUAGAUAACCGCCAGAAAUGGUACGGUUCCCGCGACUCUAAAAAAGCAGGAUCCUAAGGGUUAGUGGUGCCGCCUCUGCUUAAUUUAUUUAAGCACGCGGUGCUGCGACACUAUCAAAUUGCGGGAAGUCCCUUAGAGCCGGCAGUACCGCUCCCUCGUCGAAAUGAUGGGGGCAGCACCAGGUUAAUGACCUCGGGUAUGGUAACAAUCUCGCCGGAUUGGGUUACCUGCAGCCAAGUCCUCUGCGGAGGGGUGGUCGUCCACGGGCGGCCGUCUUUCGCGGUCGGAUGCAGUUCACAGGCCAAAUGGUAGUGGGUGGUCCCCUUUUGUAAGGGCGAUUGCUUAAGAUAUGGUCGGGCCCCCAGGGAAAUCCUGGGGGGUGAGUUCACAAAAGAAUAAGUAACAAGAACAAAAAAAAAAAAAAAACCCGUUCCGUAGGUGAACCUGCGGAAGGAUCAUUA
rnacentral:rRNA from 1 species